rfam:Bacillus sp. FJAT-22058 super1, whole genome shotgun sequence.
AUCUUAUCGAGAGAGGUGGAGGGACUGGCCCGAAGAAACCUCAGCAACCAGCUUAGGCAAAGGUGCUAAAUCCAGCAAGCAGAGCUUGAUAGAUGAGGA